rnacentral:lncRNA from 1 species
AAAUCUCAAGGCAUGUUUAUUUCUGCAAUAUAUACAAAGCAAUUUAGAUUCCCCUUACAACCAUCCCUCACAGGUGCCCCCAGAAAUAAGACAUUUCCAAACACGAAGCACCCACAAUUCAAGUAAUUAAUUUAUUAGUACAGUCGUCGGAAUUGCCGAGGGAACAACCAUAUUUGAUGUUAAUGAGUAAUUAACAUAAUGCACAACAUAGUAAUGAUACAAGGGCUAGAUGCUGGCGAAAUGAAUCACCAGAACCCUUCUCUUGCCAUCUUCAGAAAGUUGCAGAAUGUAAUGUUUGGAAGAUCAGCUGAAUCCGCCUUCUUCUUCUUCUUCUUUAUCUUAGUCAUUUUCACAGCCUUGUUGCCUUCUGUUUGCGAGGUUGUUACGGAGACCAGGUUGUAGAACUGUUGAAACUCCAAGUAAGCAGUCAUAAGAUGACCAUAAAAUAUUAGACCACACAUAUCAGAUUAGCUGUCAUAUGUGCAUACUCUUUUAAGAUAAAGGCAACAUAUCCUAAGACUACGCCGAUUGUUUUCUUCUUAGUUAACAAUACAACUCUGAACAUCUAGGGGCGCUGUUCUACAGCCAUUCCAAAUUGCCGAAGUUGAAAGCGCUCGAUGUUAUUAUGACAUAAUAUAUGGCGUAGUGCUGCAAUGAGGAAAUGUGAACAAUAUUGCUCCACAAAGCAUACCUCACAAACACCACGCAGCAAUAAUUGAUGGAAGGGGUCCUGAACCGGUAGCAGAAGCACCUCUCCAUCACCACUCUCCACAAAUGCUCGGACACAUUGCCACAGUAAAAUAUCCAAAACCUCUUGUUAACAACAGAAACAAAAGAAGGGGAAGAGAAAAUGGUUGGAGACAGCGGAAAACAAUGAAUGAAAAACAAAUCCUAUGGACUAUCAGAAAUACCGCCGGGGGUAAGGUUAUUUAAGAGUUAAUCCCACAAACUAUAAGAGCAGAAGGAUCUAGACCAACUAAAAGACAUGAAAGGCAAAAGGAAACAGGGCAUGAAAGGAUAGCAGCCACCUAGAUGAUUCCAUAAGGGAAACAGUUGUACAUAACAAAUGAAGUACAAAACUUGGCUUGGCACACUCCUAAUGCUAAAGCAAGCAUGGACCCAUUCCCCAUACCCAAACUAUAGUUUAUAGCCAAGCCAAAAAGAAAAUCCAUGUUAUUUCUUCUUAUUACACCAAUCUCCAACUCGAGUACGAAGGAGUAGACAUCUAAGUUGUUUCACAUGAGCAUGUAGAUUAUUUUGCAGAUCCAUUAAUCCCAAGGUAAACCAAUUAGCCUGCGCAACAAGCUUAAAUUUUCUUUUUUAAUAACAAUGGUGUUCAAGCCAGCGUGAGCUCUCGACUAUCCGUGGGGUACCUGCUACCUCCUACCGGCACAAGUAUGAGAUAACUCUCCCCAUGAACUUAGAUAGAUGAGAAGAGCUCAUUGUCGGUUCUACUGGAACUCGAAUAUGGGUUCCCAAGGUUGUCACUUCAACUCAGCAAUCACUGGCCGCCUCCCUUGGAGGCUCAACAAGCUUAAACUUCUAUCAGAACCUUAAUACAUACCAACUCGGUGUUUGCUGCAACAUUUUCAGAACAAUAACAGAUGCAAUAGCUGAAUAACAUCUGCAUAAAAACAACGCAUAUAGAAGAACAAAUUGAAGACAGGGGACCCAAUAAUUCUCAGGAAUAAUACCUCACAGCGGCUGACCAAUUCAGGGAGAAAGUUACGUCGAAGUGCCUCUCUUAUUCGACAAUCCACUCUAUGCAAUGCAGUCAACACCACAACCUCAUCAUUAUCCACACAAUUUUUCUGCUUCGAUGUUUUCGUAAUUUUUCUCCUCCUCCUCCUCCUCCUCCUCUUUCACAGCCUUGUUGCCUUCUGUUUGCGAGGUUGUUACGGAGACCAGGUUGUAGAACUGUUAAAACUCAAGUAAGCAGUCAUAAGAUGACCAUAAAUGAUAAGUCCACAUAUCACAUAUCAGAUUAGCUGUCAUAUGUGCAUUCACUUUUAAGGUAAAGGCAACAUAUCCUAAGACUAUGCAGAUUGUUUUCUUCUUACUUAACAAUACAACUCUGAACAUCUAGGGGCACUGUUCUACAGCCAUUCCAAAUUCCCGAAGUUGAAGCAGUGCUCAAUGUUAUUAUGACAUAAUAUAUGGCGUAGUGCUGCAAUGAGGAAAUGUAAACAAUAUUGC